UUCGUCGCCAACGAGAAAUUGGGGUCGGCCCGAAAGCUCUAGAAUGCACCCCUCUUCCUCCCCGGGGCCUUCCACCUCCGCGAGUUUUAUGACUUAAAAAAGCCCACAGGCUGGUCUGAAGGUCGGAGGCCUAAUUUUAACGCGUUUUCCUCCCUUUAAUUUGAAACGGGAACGCGAAUGACUGUAAAAUGUGGGCACAAUAUUUAAUCUCUCGCCUUUUUAAAGCUUAAUAGUGGAUAAUAGGGGGGCAGUAUCAAGGGAUAAUUUGGGUCCCCACAGUACCAAAGCAUUUAGAAACCUCUGUUUAAUUUAAGGAAUGAGAUAAGUUACUGCUUUUCUAGACUUCCUAGCAUGGGCUGUUGUGCUGGAGAGAACGAGAGCUACGAAGAGACUACAGUGCCUCUGACUUUUUCAUAGGACAGUUGGCCGAGGAAGACAAACAUAAAGAUGAAGUGCUUAAUUCAAGGUCACACAAUGUCGGGGAUGGACCUCCAGAUUUCCUUACUGACCUGCAUUAUCUUGUGGAUACCUGAGUGAAUUCCACACCACCCAUUUUAUAGAUGAAACCACUGAGACAUGGAGCAAUUGACUGAGUAGUCACUGCCCCACCCCUGCCUGGAGCCUCACACAUGACUCGCCUCCUCUCAGUGACCACAGGAAAACAAGCUCAGGGCUCCCACUGAUUGUACAUUAUGGUGAGACGUGGUCUUGUAACACAGUGGUUAAGAAUGUGACUUUGGAGCCAGCCUGCUAGGGGCUGAAUUCUGACUCAGCCAUUUACUAACUGUGUGACCUUAGGUGGAGUCUCACUCUGUAGCCCAAGCUGGAGUGGCGUGAUCUCGACUCACUGCAACCUCCGCCUCCUGGGAUCAAGUGAUUCUCGUGCCUCAGCCUCCUGAGUAGCCGGGACUACAGGUACGCACUAUGACACCUGGCUAAUUUUUUGUAUUUUAGUAGAGAUGGGGUUUCACCAUGUUGCCCAGUGUGGUCUCAAAUUCCUGAGCUCAGGCGAUCCUCCCACCUUGGCCUCCCAAAGUGCUGGGAUUGCAGGUGCGAGCCACUGCGCCCAGCCUAUUCCGAAGUAUUUUUAAAUAGCUAUUGUAAAUGAGAUUGUUUUCUUCAUUUUUUUGAUAGUUCGUUGUUAUUGUAUAUAAACACUACUGAAUUUUGCAUGUUGAUUUUGUUUCUUUUUUUUAAAAAAAUACUAACAGACAAGCAAAUGCAUGUUGAUUUUGUAUCCUGCAACUUUACUGAAUAUGUUUAUCAGUUCUAACAGUUUUUUGGUGAGUCUUUACUAUUGUCUAUCUAAAGAUCAUGUCAUCAACAGACAGACAAUUUAACUUUUUCCUUUGCGAUUUGGACAAAUUUUAUUUCUUUCUCUUGACUAAUUGUUCUGGCUAGGAUUUCCAAUACUGUUUUCAAUAGAAGUGUCUGAAAUAAGCAUUCUUGUCUUAUUACUAAUCUUACG
rnacentral:lncRNA from 1 species